UGGGGAAUAUUGGACAAUGGGCGAAAGCCUGAUCCAGCCAUGCCGCGUGUGUGAAGAAGGUCUUCGGAUUGUAAAGCACUUUAAGUUGGGAGGAAGGGCAGUAAGCGAAUACCUUGCUGUUUUGACGUUACCGACAGAAUAAGCACCGGCUAACUCUGUGCCAGCAGCCGCGGUAAUACAGAGGGUGCAAGCGUUAAUCGGAAUUACUGGGCGUAAAGCGCGCGUAGGUGGUUCGUUAAGUUGAAUGUGAAAGCCCCGGGCUCAACCUGGGAACUGCAUCCAAAACUGGCGAGCUAGAGUAGGGCAGAGGGUGGUGGAAUUUCCUGUGUAGCGGGGAAAGGCGUAGAUAUAGGAAGGAACACCAGUGGCGAAGGCGACCACCUGGGCUCAUACUGACGCUGAGGUGCGAAAGCGUGGGGAGCAAACAGG
rnacentral:rRNA from 1 species